rnacentral:rRNA from 1 species
UACGGAGGGUGUUAGCGUUGUUCGGAAUGACUGGGCGUAAAGCGCGCGUAGGCGGAUCAGGAAGUUGGGGGUGAAAUCCCGGGGCUCAACCCCGGAAUGGCCUUCAAAACUCCUGGUCUUGAGUUCGAGAGAGGUGAGUGGAAUUCCGAGUGUAGAGGUGAAAUUCGUAGAUAUUCGGAGGAACACCAGUGGCGAAGGCGGCGCACUGGCUCGACACUGACGCUGAGGUGCGAAAGCGUGGGGAGCAAACAGG